rnacentral:rRNA from 1 species
ACGAACGCUGGCGGCAGGCCUAACACAUGCAAGUCGAACGCCCCGCAAGGGGAGUGGCAGACGGGUGAGUAACGCGUGGGAAUAUACCCUUCAGUUCGGAAUAGCUCCGGGAAACUGGAAUUAAUACCGGAUACGUCCUACGGGAGAAAGAUUUAUCGCUGAAGGAUUAGCCCGCGUCGGAUUAGCUAGUUGGUGAGGUAACGGCCCACCAAGGCGAUGAUCCGUAGCUGGUCUGAGAGGACGACCAGCCACACUGGGACUGAGACACGGCCCAGACUCCUACGGGAGGCAGCAGUGGGGAAUCUUGGACAAUGGGCGCAAGCCUGAUCCAGCCAUGCCGCGUGAGUGAAGAAGGCCCUAGGGUUGUAAAGCUCUUUCGCCGACGAAGAUAAUGACGGUAGUCGGAGAAGAAGCCCCGGCUAACUUCGU